rnacentral:rRNA from 1 species
UGGCCAGACUCCUACGGGAGGCAGCAGUGAGGAAUAUUGGUCAAUGGGCGGGAGCCUGAACCAGCCAAGCCGCGUGAGGGAAGAAGGUACAGCGUAUCGUAAACCUCUUUUGUCAGGGAACAAAGGCGGGGACUAGUCCCCGGAUGAGGGUACCUGAAGAAAAAGCAUCGGCUAACUCCGUGCCAGCAGCCGCGGUAAUACGGAGGAUCCGAGCGUUAUCCGGAUUUAUUGGGUUUAAAGGGAGCGUAGGUGGAUUGUUAAGUCAGUUGUGAAAGUUUGCGGCUCAACCGUAAAAUUGCAGUUGAAACUGGCAGUCUUGAGUACAGUAGAGGUGGGCGGAAUUCGUGGUGUAGCGGUGAAAUGCUUAGAUAUCACGAAGAACUCCGAUUGCGAAGGCAGUUCACUGGACUGCAACUGACACUGAGGCUCGAAAGUGUGGGUAUCGAACAGGAUUAGAUACCCCUGUA